UGAAGCCAUUCUGCCCCUUCGUCUGAUUUCAUCCCGCAAAACCCAACGAAAGCACUGUUUUCUCUUUUCUUCUCCUGCUAUUCCUCAGUUCUCUUUGGCUUCUUGUCCAAGAUGUUCCUCUUUGCAGCUAAUCCUGAUGUGGCUAGAGAUCAAUCGGCAACUUUGGGAAGGUGGUAUUAGUGAUUGUGAUGAAUAGUUCGAAUAAUGCGAAUCCCGAUCUGGGUUCACGUCUCCUGGUGGAAAACAGAGGAUAGAAAGGGGAUCUUUUUCGAACCCCUGGCGGUUCUCCAUAUACUUUUGGCUCAGAACUAACUUCUCGGAUCUUUGUUUGUGGAUUGUGUUGGAUGGUUGCGACUUUUGGUCAUCUGUUUUCGUGUAAUGACUCCUCUGGGUUCUAAAGCGAUGAGAUUUUGUAGCAAAACCCGCAUUCUUUAGCGGAAAAAAAAAAACAGCAUAUUUGUGCAGCAAAGAGCUGACUUGAUCAAAUCACAUUGCUUCUGUUUUCUCUGAAAAGAUUUGGAUUGAACAUGGUCGGUGCUUUCAAUACCCAUUAGCUACUGCUUGAUUUCUUCAUUCGUCAUGAGUACUUGGGGUUGGGCGACACCAAGCAAUGCUUUAGCUGUAUUGGUUUCCUAUCUUACCACAUUAGAUAGAGGUCAAGCAUGCCGCAAGAUCAUGUUAGUGACAAAUUUAUCAAGUCUUGACUCGAGAGAUGAACUUGAUUGUGUCAAACUAAGCAGUAGGAGGGUGAGGUGUAACUAAGAUCACUUUGUCCACAUUCUGGUUCUCUGCAUUUCGAGGAUUAUACUGGAUGAGAAGGUCGGUUUGUAGCUCUGUGAACAGAGUAGAGGUAUUUUGGGACAUGACAAAGUAAUGCCUUCAUGACACUGUCUCUCUUGCAGCACUGUCAAGUGAGUGAUGUCCUGUUGUCAAUUCACAUGCGCCUGAGAAUUCUACAUCUUGUCUUGAGAAAAGAACUCGACCUGAUCUCAUCUGCAGGUCUAUAUGGACAGGGGCACAUCCUGAUGUUUCAAAGGCCACUUCACCAUACAGUGGAAAAUGGUAGCAUGAAGAUGAAAAGAGAUUCUUUUGGAAAGAAAUACAAAGACUUUUGGGCUGAGUGAUAACAAGCUGUUAAGAAAGAUUAGUUUGCUCUACUCUUCACUCAUGGAGAUGAAGUUGGGAAGAGCAGGGAGUCAUGUGGAGCUACAGAGAUGACACGCUUCCAUGUGGAUACCAUGUGGGACUUGAUUUCCUUUACCCAAAGUCCACUGGGGUUAGAAAGAAAAGGUUGAGCACCCACAUCCACCAUCAUAUUUCCCUCGUCUUGCUGACCUACUUUUUUCUGGAUGACAUGAUCUCUUGCAGAGCUGUUGUAUCCGUCUGUCUGUCUGAGGUCAGUGAAAGACGAAAUCACCUCAGAAAAUGGUGUUAAGGUGAUUCGAUCAACCUAAAUAACAUUUUUUUUUUCUCAUUGGAAAUCUUCUUUCAAAAAUGGAUCUUCUGUUAUGCAUCAUGCAAUCUUCAAACAUGAUAUUGAAACGUCAAUAUACUGUCAC